rnacentral:pre_miRNA from 7 species
UUUUGGGGUUCCUGGGUGUCAUGUAGGUCUUGGUAGAACCUCCAAAUGAAAGAACCUAGUGGGGAAAUCCCCACUCAUUUCCCGAUCCAGCGUGCACCCAAGAAUCAUGAACAGAUGA